rnacentral:misc_RNA from 1 species
GGCGUGCUCGUGGCGGUGCUCGGGGCCGUCCUGUUCGUCCUGUUCGUGGCGCUCACGGCGCUGAAGCAGCGACGGGCGCUCGGCCUCGCGAGCCGCGCUCCGAGCCCCGAGGGCAGCGCCGAGCAGCGCGACGCGCG